CACAACAAGAUGCUAC
rnacentral:rRNA from 1 species